AAAAAUAUAUAUAUGAGACUUCUACUAUACUGUACUUCUACUGAGACCUAUACAGUAGAAGUCUCUUUUUUUUUUAUUGUUUUACUGCUUGGCUAUGCAGCUGUAUAGUGUAUGGUUAAGGUUCUGGG